GUGUCCGUAGUGUAGUGGCGCUGCACACGACGUUGUGACCGUCGUAGCGGCGGGUUCGAUUCCCCCCGGACACC
rfam:Candidatus Entotheonella sp. TSY2 genomic scaffold TSY2_scaffold00311, whole genome shotgun sequence.